rnacentral:rRNA from 1 species
UGUCCCAGUUCGGACUGGAGUCUGCAACCCGACUCCACGAAGUUGGAUUCGCUAGUAAUCGCGCAUCAGCCAUGGCGCGGUGAAUACGUUCCCGGGCCUUGUACACACCGCCCGUCAAGCCAUGGGAGCCGGGGCGCCUGAAGUCCGGGACCGCGAGGACCGGCCUAGGGCGAAACUGGUAACUGGGGCUAAGUCGUAACAAGGUAGC